AGAGCCUGGGGUCUUCUUUGAUUCACUUUUCCUCACUCCUUUGGGGUGUGCGCGGGCUUGUGAAGCUGGUUGGUCCCUUCCACGCACGCUUUCCUUGGCUCUCAGUUCAAGUGAGGCUGGGGGCACCCGUGAAUGUUUGGAUACAGCCGCGGACUGAAAAAACCCUAGCGGGUUUUGCUAGCUGGUCUGGGUUCAACACCCUUUGAAAGUUUAAUCAGAAGUGGCCAUUAGACUCGCGUAACCCAUUGGUUCCUUAUAGAAAAUGUAAAAGACCCCCAGAGAGCGGGAACAGAUACUUUAUAAUCUUUAAAUGAAGGAAUCCUUUAGGAGACCGAGAAAACAAGCCUAAUAUGUGAUCAGUGGUGGGUCCGAAGACUUCCCAAAAUAUAGGGGGGCAAUUUUCAGGAUCCCAAGUGCACUUGGGCAAACUUUCCAGUUGCCUCCCUUCUCCCCCUCAGAGAAAGUGCAAAGAAAUGCAGAUUAGCCCGCAGACCACCGGGACAAUGCCCAAUUGCCUACUGCUGCUGUCCCAACCCAAGCACUGCCCUACCUCCAAAGACAUGAAAAUCAAUGCUUCUACAUGACAUUUCUAAUAGCUCAGAAGGGAUCACUAAAAUGGCCAGAACAUGGUGACUGAGCUGGGUAUGUGCUAUGUUAUUGUUUCCAGCAGAUUUUUAAAGGACUAGUUCUCUCCAAAAUACCCCAGAACUUUGGUACCUGCUGGAGAAAUGAAU
rnacentral:lncRNA from 1 species